AUUACUGACGCUAAGGCGUGAAAGCGUGGGGAGCAAACGGGAUUAGAUACCCCGGUAGUCCACGCCCUAAACGAUGUUCACUAGUCGUCGGGAUGCUAGUCAUCUCGGUGAUGCACUUAACAGAUUAAGUGAACCGCCUGGGGAGUACGGUCGCAAGAUUAAAACUCAAAGGAAUAGACGGGGACCCGCACAAGUGGUGGAGCAUGUGGUUUAAUUCGAAGAUACGCGAAGAACCUUACCUAGCCUUGACAUUGAUAGAAUACACCAGAGAUGGAGUAGUGCCUUUCGGGGAACUUGAAAACAGGUGCUGCACGGCUGUCGUCAGCUCGUGUCGUGAGAUGUUGGGUUAAGUCCCGCAACGAGCGCAACCCUCGUCCUUAGUUGCCAGCAGGUUAAGCUGGGCACUCUAAGGAGACUGCCUUCGUAAGGAGGAGGAAGGUGAGGACGACGUCAAGUCAUCAUGGCCCUUAUGGCUAGGGCUACACACGUGCUACAAUGGGGCGUACAGAGUGUUGCGAUACCGCGAGGUGGAGCUAAUCACUUAAAGCGUCUCUCAGUUCGGAUAGCAGUCUGCAACUCGACUGCUUGAAGCUGGAAUCACUAGUAAUCGUAGAUCAGCAAUGCUACGGUGAAUACGU
rnacentral:rRNA from 1 species